CACGGGGGGAACGGAAAACCUUACCUGGGUUGGAGCCCUCCAGAAGUCCGCAGAGAUGUGGAUGUGCCCGCAAGGGGAUUGGAUGUCCAGGUGCUGCAUGGCUGUCGUCAGCUCGUGUCGUGAGAUGUUGGGUUAAGUCCCGCAACGAGCGCAACCCUUGUCGUUAGUUGCCAGCGGUUCGGCCGGGCACUCUAACGAGACUGCCGGUGUUAAACCGGGGGAAGGUGGGGAUGACGUCAAGUCCUCAUGGCCCUUAUGCCCAGGGCUACACACGUGCUACAAUGGCCGGUACAAAGGGUUGCUAACCCGCGAGGGCAUGCUAAUCCCAAAAAACCGGCCUCAGUUCAGAUUGAAGUCUGCAACUCGACUUCAUGAAGUCGGAAUCGCUAGUAAUCCCUGAUCAGCAGGCAGGGGUGAAUACGUUCCCGGGUCUUGUACACACGC
rnacentral:rRNA from 1 species